GUAUCCACAGCUAUUCUGAAACUUUCUGAAAUGUUAGGGGUCCUAGAAGUUUUGGGGCUCCUAUCUGCCCGGUGUCUCAGCCCCGCCCAGCUGUCUGGAGGAGCGGUGAAUGGAGAGAGUGCGGCGGCCAGAGGAAGCAUGUGCUAAAGGAGGAACAGGACGCGCAACAGAAAAACCACCGUGACUAAAAAGGGGGGAAAUAAUGUCAGCCUCACUGAUCUGUACACCACACACAGGGACGGCAGUACAGCGAUACCAGACAUGAAGCGAAAUUGGCCUUUUCUCAACAGCAACCCCAAACGACACAGGAAUAGCAGCAGCAACUUCGCAAUUGAUGCGGUGUUCCAGUUUCUCCACUUCAUGCUUUGGUAGUGGCGUUGCAUGGAUGACGCAGUAAACACGUUUCAAGAAGGCAACUUAUCAUAUUGAUAACUUUUGUCUGAGAAUAAAACUGAGGACAGUAACCACGGACGACAUGAAAUAGUUGCGGAGAAGAGCAGUACGUUUCUUGUGAGACUGGCUUGGAUUUCUAUCGCUCUGCUGCAACAUUGUGAUAUUUUGAGUUUCUUCUGAAAUAACAAGAAUCGGUCGCUUGACUGAAACGUUGUAUCUCACAAAACGGACCGAAACACAUUACGUUGAAUGGACAUCGUUAAGCGUGCAAAUGUUUAGAAUAAACAGCAUAUUGAUUUGGAAGACCAUAAAUUGAAGGACACAUUGCUGAAUGGAUGUUUGCGAGUUGUAUUUACGACGAGGAAAGUUUUAGAAAAGUAGCCAAUGCCAUGCUGGAAAGGAAUGGAUUUAAAGGACAAACAACUGUCUACUUGGCGUCAGUGAAUAUUAAACAUGAUAUGAUGAAUGUCGCGCAAUGUGUUCAAAUAAGGCAUUCAUCACUUACAGUUAUUGAAGAAAAUGGAUUUUAAUAGUUAUUGUAAGGGCUUGCCGUGCAAAAGGAGAUCAACGAGCCGAGUCAUACAUUGAUGAACCUUCAUGGAACAUAAUCAAAUUUAACGUCAUAGUCAGUGCUGCAUCUGCUUGGACUUCUCACUAAUGUUCUCACGAUUGGGAAUGUAUAGCUACAUGGGCCUACAUUGUUAAUCCUCAACGGAAGACGAACAACUGCAGCUGAGAGCACCUGGAAUGUGAAUGUGGACCGCAACCAACCUCGUGCAUCAUGAAUGACACCAGGUCCAUUUGAACAGCACUGUAGUUGAAUCAGUAUAACUUAUAGACAACAACGCGACGAAUUAUAUAGCCCCUUACUCGUAAUGGACAAGAACUGUUUAGCUUUUCAAAUGGAGUUGACUCUUAUGGUUGUUGCCCUCUUAUCUUGGGUCGCGGUAUGGGCGGACGAUAGCAAAAUCAUAUCAGACAGAUAUGCAGUCUACUGGAACAGCACGAACCACAGGUUUUUCCAUGGGGAGUACACCGUGGAGGUGGCCAUCAACGACUACCUGGACAUCUACUGCCCCCACUACGAGGACCCGCUCCCCCUAGAGCGCAUGGAGCGCUACAUCCUCUUCAUGGUCAACUACGACGGCUACACCACCUGCGACCACCGCAUGAAGGGCUUCAAGCGCUGGGAGUGCAACCGGCCCCAGAGCCCCAACGGACCGCUCAAGUUCUCCGAGAAGUUCCAGCUCUUCACUCCCUUCUCACUGGGGUUUGAGUUCCGGCCGGGUCACGAGUACUACUACAUCUCGUCUCCACACCCUAACCUUGUUGGGAAACCCUGCUUGAAGUUGAAAGUCUAUGUCAAGCCCACAAAUGACUCAGUGUAUGAGUCCCCAGAGCCCUUCCUGACAGACGACAGCACCGGUGGCUGUUGGGUGGCCGCCCCCUGCCUCUCCCUCAUGCUGGCCAUGCUGCUCACGCUUCUCCUGUCCUCAUCAUAGCAUCUUGGGCCCGCCGGCCGUACCCCCUUUGGAACAGCCCCUACCCGACUUCCCGUCAAAUCUUCCGCCUCUGCCCCGCGCGAGGAGACAUGCCUCCUCCACACCCCAUCUCCCCACGCCUGUCCUCUCCUCCUCCCAUAUCAGUCCACUCCCCUCCACCCUCAACCCCUCGACAUGCACCAUCUGGACACUGUAAACUCAUACUGCCCCUCCCUCCCUCAGAACCCUCCAACUCCUCAGCGUAACCCUUGCUUCAUGACCUCUGGCUUCUGACCCUCGGCCUACAGCUCAAGUCCAGGUGGCAAUAAAGUGGAGUAGUCCUGGGGACCAGGAAGGAGUAGUGGAAAGACAAGAAGGAGUCCCUUAAAGACAGGAAGGAGUUCCUUAAAGUCUUUACAAAAACAGCCUCCCAGCUGCAGAGGAGCGCUGGGAUGUGCAAGAAAUGGAUGGGGUUUUGAACCGAACUGAGAACAAACUCCCCUCCUACGUGUCUGGAUGGUCGACAGUGACGUCAUCUCCACUUAAGGACCCUCUCAUUUGCAUCUUCAUCUUCGGACUGUUUGCGUUUCUCUUUGAGGCUUUGUGCUUUGAUUAUGCUCAAUAGUGUCCCACUUGUACAUGUUCAUUCUGUUACAGUGUAUUAUACAGUAGUAUAUUACUUUGUCACGUUGGCUCCUGCGGUGAUAGAUCAUAGGUGAACCUUCUCUUUAUCUCUCUCUCUCUCUUCUUGUGUGUCUCUGACCAGUCUCUCUCUCUCUCUCUCUCUCUCUCUCUCUCUCUCUCUCUCUCUCUCUCUCUCUCUCUCUCUCUCUUCUUGUGUGUCUCUGACCAGUCUUUCCCUCUCUCUCUUCUUGUGUCUCUGACCAGUCUCUCUCUCUCUCUCUCUCUCUCUCUCUCUCUCUCUUCUUGUGUGUCUCUGACCAGUCUCUCUCUCUCUCUCUCUCUCUCUCUCUCUCUCUCUCUCUCUCUCUCUCUCUCUCUUCUUGUGUGUCUCUGACCAGUCUCUAACAUCUUUGCAAUUUCUAGCAGUAGCGUCCCAGAGUAGAUGAGGACCUUUUCUGUAAAUCUGCCAAAGACACUUGUUUAACUUUUAUACCGGGAGAACAGGGGGGUGGGACGGCGCUGUCGUGGCUCUCCAACAAGGUCGUAAGCAGCCAUAGACCUCUGUGUAGACCCUCUAAAACAUGCCAUGGGGGUCCCAUCACAGGCAGGGCAGUGUAGAUUUUUUAAAAAGAGGAUCUUUUUGUCAUACAAAAAAAAAAGUUAUGUAAAAACAAACAAAUGAACCGUUUAAAAAAUUGCCUUUUUUCCACUGGUGCUGAAUUCAAAAUGAGUCUCUUCAUCUCAUGCUGCGGUGCUCUCUUUCUCACUACCCCCUCUUCUCUCUCUCUCUCUCUCUCUCUCUCUCUCUCUCUCUCUCUCUCUACCCCCUCUAUCUCUACCCCCUCUUCUCUCUCUCUCUACCCCCCUCUCUCUCUACCCCUCUUCUUUCUCUCUCUCUCUAUACCCCUCUUCUCUCUCUUUCUCUCUCUACCCCUCCUCUCUCUUUCUCUCUCUACCCAUCUCUCUCUCUCUACCCCUCUUCUCUCUCUCUCUAUCCCUCUUCUCUCUCUUUCUCUCUCUCUACCCCUCUCUCUCUACCCCUCUUCUCUCACACUCUCUCUCUCUACCCCUCUCUCUCUACCCCACUUCUCUUUCUCUCUCUCUACCCCUCAUCUCUCUCUUUACUGCUCUUCUCUCUCUACCCCUCUUCUCUUUCUCUCCCUCUCUCUCUCUCUCUCUCUCUCUCUACCCCUCAUCUCUCUCCCUCUCUUUCUCUCAUUCUCUCUACCCCCUUCUAUCUUACUCUCUCUCAUUCGCUCUACACUCUCUCUCUGUCUCAUUCUCUGCCCCCUCUCUCUCUCUUUCUCUCUCAUGCUCUGAAUGUGAGCUUUUCACCGUGUGACGUUUUCGCUGUACGACACAUGCCCAUUUCUAUGUCAGGUCCUCUUGUCUGAGUCCCAGUACUGAGGCUGGUGACCGCUGGGUCAUUGUGGAGACUGAGGGCCUGUCAUCUCGAGGGGAAUGGACAAUGUGACAUCCCCAUGUAUUGUGCAACACUAAGGGAGCCAGACCUCCAUGUACACUUAAAGGUGACGGAAAGGGAGCCAGACCUCCAUGUACACUUAAAGGUGACGGAAAGGGAGCCAGACCUCCAUGUACACUUAAAGGUGACGGAAAGGGAGCCAGACCUCCAUGUACACUUAAAGG
rnacentral:lncRNA from 1 species